GACGAACGCUGGCGGCGUGCUUAACACAUGCAAGUCGAACGGAAAGGCCCUGCUUUUGUGGGGUGCUCGAGUGGCGAACGGGUGAGUAACACGUGAGUAACCUGCCCUUGACUUUCGGAUAACUUCAGGAAACUGGGGCUAAUACCGGAUCGGAGCUCCUGCUGCAUGGUGGGGGUUGGAAAGUUUCGGCGGUUGGGGAUGGACUCGCGGCUUAUCAGCUUGUUGGUGGGGUAGUGGCUUACCAAGGCUUUGACGGGUAGCCGGCCUGAGAGGGUGACCGGCCACAAUGGGACUGAGAUACGGACCAGAGUCAUACGGGAGGCAGCAGUGGGGAAUAUUGCACAAUGGGCGGAAGCCAGAUGCAGCAACGCCGAGUGCGGGAUGACGGCCUUCGGGUUGUAAACCGCUUUCGCCUGUGACGAAGCGGGAGUGACGGUAAUGGGUAAAGAAGCACCGGCUAACUACGUG
rnacentral:rRNA from 1 species